rnacentral:tRNA from 1 species
GGGGCCGUAGUGUAGCUUGGACCGGCGGGUCAGCUUUUGACUGCCGGAAGCAAACUAUCACUCUACCCUGGGGCAAAUCCCCAGCCAAUGGUUGUACCUUGGUUUCCAGAGCGGUAGUAACCCGUGUUCAAAUCACGGCGGCCCCA